CCCCCUGUGUGAUCAGUUGGUAGAGCAUGGUGUUUGCAACGCCAUGCAUGUUGUGGGUUCGAUUCCCACGGGGGA
rfam:Salmo salar isolate Sally breed double haploid chromosome ssa25, whole genome shotgun sequence.